UACGGGGGGGGCAAGCGUUGUUCGGAAUUACUGGGCGUAAAGGGCGCGUAGGCGCCUUCUAAGUCGGACGUGAAAUCCCUCGGCUUAACCGAGGAACUGCGUCCGAUACUGAAAGGCUUGAAUCCGGGAGAGGGAUGUGGAAUUCCAGGUGUAGCGGUGAAAUGCGUAGAUAUCUGGAGGAACACCGGUGGCGAAGGCGGCAUCCUGGACCGGUAUUGACGCUGAGGCGCGAAAGCUAGGGGAGCAAACGGG
rnacentral:rRNA from 1 species